rnacentral:rRNA from 1 species
AGAGUUUGAUCAUGGCUCAGGAUGAACGCUAGCGGCAGGCUUAAUACAUGCAAGUCGUGGGGCAGCAGGUCUGUAGCAAUACAGAUGCUGGCGACCGGCAAACGGGUGCGGAACACGUACACAACCUUCCUUUAAGUGGGGAAUAGCCCAGGGAAACUUGGAUUAAUACCCCGUAACAUAUAGAAGAGGCAUCUCUUUCAUAUUAUAGCUACGGCGCUUGAAGAUGGGUGUGCGGCUGAUUAGGUAGUUGGCGGGGUAACGGCCCACCAAGCCUGCGAUCAGUAACUGGUGUGAGAGCACGACCAGUCACACGGGCACUGAGACACGGGCCCGACUCCUACGGGAGGCAGCAGUAAGGAAUAUUGGUCAAUGGACGCAAGUCUGAACCAGCCAUGCCGCGUGAAGGAUGAAGGCCCUCUGGGUUGUAAACUUCUUUUAUAGGGGACGAAAAAAGCUCAUUCUUGAGCACUUGACGGUACCCUAGGAAUAAGCACCGGCUAACUCCGUGCCAGCAGCCGCGGUAAUACGGAGGGUGCAAGCGUUAUCCGGAUUUACUGGGUUUAAAGGGUGCGUAGGUGGAUUAGUAAGUCAGUGGUGAAAUCUCCGGGCUUAACCCGGAAACUGCCAUUGAUACUAUUAGUCUUGAAUAUCCUGGAGGUGAGCGGAAUAUGUCAUGUAGCGGUGAAAUGCUUAGAUAUGACAUAGAACACCAAUUGCGAAGGCAGCUCACUACGGGAUUAUUGACACUGAGGCACGAAAGCGUGGGGAUCAAACAGGAUUAGAUACCCUUGUAGUCC